rnacentral:rRNA from 1 species
UACAGAGGGUGCGAGCGUUAAUCGGAAUUACUGGGCGUAAAGCGUGCGUAGACGGUUACAUAAGUCGGGUGUGAAAGCCCCAGGCUCAACCUGGGAAUUGCAUUCGAGACUGCGUAGCUAGGGUGCGGAAGAGGGAAGCGGAAUUUCCGGUGUAGCGGUGAAAUGCGUAGAUAUCGGAAGGAACACCAGUGGCGAAAGCGACUUCCUGGUCCAGCAUCGACGUCAGGCACGAAAGCGUGGGGAGCAAACAGG